GCCAUCGUGGCUCAAUGGCAGAGCGUCAGCUUCCUACGUUGCCGUCAUGGACCGUAGCUGAAGGUUGUGGGUUCGACCCCCACCGUUGGUA
rfam:Piloderma croceum F 1598 unplaced genomic scaffold scaffold_00465, whole genome shotgun sequence.